rnacentral:snRNA from 1 species
AGAUAUGAGGGUGAUCUGACUGCGACAACUGUCACCCCACUGAUCGCCAGGGUUGAUUCGGCUGAUCUGGCUGCCUAGGCAUGUGUCCCCUUCCUCCCUCACAUAUCCUCAUGGAUACGCUCCAUGCAUAUCCCUCCCAAAGCUGUGCCCUCAGUCCUAGAGGACAACCUUCCCCAAACAGAGACUGACUGGUCUUUGAUUGAAGGUAUACAAGUCCCUGAACUUCCCUGCUAGAACCUCCAAAGCUCUCAGAAAUAGAAUCAUACAUGAGAGAACAUCUCUGGUUUGCCCUGUUAUAUAUUUUUAAAAGUAAGUUUUUUUUUUUUAA